GACGAACGCUUGCGACGUGCCUAAGAAAUGCAAGUCGAACGGGGUAGCAAUACCUAGUGGCGAACGGUCGCGUAACACGUGGGCAACCUGCCCUGAAGCGGGGGACGAACAGCUUGAAGAGCUGCUAAUACCGCAUGUGAACAAAAGUAGGCAUCAUUAUUUGUUCAAAGCCUUCGGGCACUUCAGGAUGGGCCCGCGGCCUAUCAGCUAGUUGGUGAGGUAACGGCCCACCAAGGCUUCGACGGGUAGCUGGUCUGAGAGGACGAUCAGCCGGAUUGGGACUGAGAUACGGCCCAGACU
rnacentral:rRNA from 1 species